GCCUCGGUAGUGUAAUGGAUCAACAGGGCAGAUCAGAUAUCCGCAGGUACGGGUUCAAAUCCCGCCUGAGGUU
rnacentral:tRNA from 1 species